CCUACGGGUGGCAGCAGUAGGGAAUUUUCGGCAAUGGGGGGAACCCUGACCGAGCAACGCCGCGUGAACGAAGAAGUUAUUCGUAAUGUAACGUUCUUUUAACAGGGAAGAAAGAGAAAUUUGACGGUACCUGAAGAAUAAGCUCCGGCUAACUACGUGCCAGCAGCCGCGGUAAUACGCAGGGGGCGAGCGUUAUCCGGAAUUAUUGGGCGUAAAGGGUGCGUAGAUGGCAUAGUAAGUCUUUGGUAAAAAUGCUGGGCUCAACCCAGUAGGGCAAAAGAUACUGCCACGCUAGAGGAUGACAGAGGCAAGUGGAACGAGAGGUGUAGCGGUAAAAUGCAUAAAUAUAUGUAAGAACACCAGUGGCGAAGGCAGCUUGCUGGGUCGAUACUGACAUUGAGGCACGAAAGCGUGGGGAGCGAACAGGAUUAGAUACCCUUGUAGUC
rnacentral:rRNA from 1 species